CAAUGCCUACGGGGCGCAGCAGUGGGGAAUAUUGGGCAAUGGGCGCAAGCCUGACCCAGCAACGCCGCGUGAAGGAAGAAGGCUUUCGGGUUGUAAACUUCUUUUCUGAGGGACGACAGUGACGGUACCUCAGGAAUAAGCCACGGCUAACUACGUGCCAGCAGCCGCGGUAAUACGUAGGUGGCAAGCGUUAUCCGGAUUUACUGGGUGUAAAGGGCGUGUAGGCGGGAUGGUAAGUCAGAUGUGAAAACUAUGGGCUCAACCCAUAGCCUGCAGUUGAAACUAUCGUUCUUGAGUGGUGGAGG
rnacentral:rRNA from 1 species